CCCCACUAGAUUAGCUAGACACAGAGUACUGAUUGGUGCAUUUACAAACCUCUAGCUAGACACAGAGUGCUGAUUGGUGGAUUCACAAACCUUUAGCUAGACACAGAGUGCUGAUUGGUGCAUUCACAAUCCUCCAGGUAGACAGAAAAGUUCUCCAAGUCCCUACCCGUCCCAGAAGCCCAGCCGGCUUCACCUCUCACUGGCACUCGCCUGUGGCGCCUAGCCCGGGCACUCCGGCAGCCCAGUUGGAGCUCCUCCCGCAAUCAAGCCCAGCAGCUGCUGGCCAGCCACGCCCAGUGUGGGGCCGCCAAGCCCCCGCCCACCCGGAACUCUUGAAGGCCUGUGAGCGCCACCAGAAGCCCCGGCUCCCGCAGGCGCCUCUCGCUCCACACCUCCACGCAAGCAGAGGGAGUCGGCUCCAGCCUCGGCCAGCCCCAGAGAGGGGCCCCCACAGUGCAGUGGCGGCCAGAGCGGAUGCCGAGGCCCAGGAGAGGCCGAGAGUGAGCGAGGGCUGCUAGCACGUUGUCACCUCUCACUAACACCAGAAGAGGUGGAGAUGGUCCAUAUUUACAACAUUUGUUGCAGACAAUGAGACAAAUUUAGUCCAUACUCCACAAAUUGCCAGAAGUAAUGUUAUUUGACCCAACAGGAGGGAGAAAGCGGAAUUUGUGUGGAGAGUAAGAUGCUGAUGUUUGGAUGUGCAGAGAAGAGUUUCCAUAUAGCAGGAAAAGCCCUUUUUCCUUUCUCUCCAGCUUGUAAGGAAGAGUCUAGAUAUUCCCACAUAGCACUAAGUUCUUCUAAGGGACAAUACUGGAAAAAGAAGAAAUCACAAGCUGGGUAAAAAGAUAUACCAGAGUUUAGUUUUGAGAAGGGAUGCAGUGCUUGAGAGAAGAAGCUAUCAUCCACAUGAACCAUGAGGUAAAGAGACAGAGAUUGGAUGGAGGAAUUUAAAAUAUAAUUCCUUUUUAUUAGUAAUAUUCUUUCUGUCCUUUGGUAUUUAUUAAAAUAUUGAGUAGAU
rnacentral:lncRNA from 1 species